CUGCCCAUAGCUUAGUUGGAUAGAGCAUCGGCCUUCUAAGCCGACGGUCGGGGGUUCGAGUCCCUCUGGGCAGGCCA
rnacentral:tRNA from 1 species